rnacentral:tRNA from 1 species
GCCCGGGUGCUGUAACUGGUAGCCAGGAGGGACUUAAAAUCCCUUGUUCGUAAGGACGUGUGGGUUCGACCCCCACCCCGGGCA